UACGUAGGGUGCAAGCGUUGUCCGGAAUUAUUGGGCGUAAAGAGCUCGUAGGCGGUUUGUCGCGUCGGCUGUGAAAACUGGAGGCUUAACCUUCAGCGUGCAGUCGAUACGGGCAGACUUGAGUUCGUAGGGGAGACUGGAAUUCCUGGUGUAGCGGUGAAAUGCGCAGAUAUCAGGAGGAACACCAAUGGCGAAGGCAGCACUCUGGGACGUGACUGACGCUGAGACGCGAAAGCGUGGGGAGCAAACAGG
rnacentral:rRNA from 1 species